UAGGGAAUCUUCCGCAAUGGGCGAAAGCUUGACGGAGCAACGCCGCGUGAGUGAUGAAGGUCUUCGGAUCGUAAAACUCUGUUAUUAGGGAAGAACAAAUGUGUAAGUAACUAUGCACGUCUUGACGGUACCUAAUCAGAAAGCCACGGCUAACUACGUGCCAGCAGCCGCGGUAUUACGUAGGUGGCAAGCGUUAUCCGGAAUUAUUGGGCGUAAAGCGCGCGUAGGCGGUUUUUUAAGUCUGAUGUGAAAGCCCACGGCUCAACCGUGGAGGGUCAUUGGAAACUGGAAAACUUGAGUGCAGAAGAGGAAAGUGGAAUUCCAUGUGUAGCGGUGAAAUGCGCAGAGAUAUGGAGGAACACCAGUGGCGAAGGCGACUUUCUGGUCUGUAACUGACGCUGAUGUGCGAAAGCGUGGGGAUCAAACAGG
rnacentral:rRNA from 1 species